GCCCCCGUAGCUCAGCGGAUAGAGUGCGGGCCUCCGGAGCCCGAAGCACAGGUUCGAGUCCUGUCGGGGGCGCCA
rnacentral:tRNA from 1 species